AUCCUGUAGCACCUAGCCAAGCUUUAAAAAUAACACAAAAUUCUCCACCUAUGUCCACUUCCGCGCCACAGCGACAUUCCAAAUUACAGCUAGCUGCAGCGGCCGCUGUCCCGCUCGGCGCGGCCCGAUGCCCAGCUGUCUCCGUCUGACAUAUUUUCAAGUGUGUUUCCAGCAGGCACCCUGUGCUGUGACAGAGCACGAAGCAGAAACAUCACAGACGGCUGGUCUGUAGUCACAAAUAACGGUGAAGUUCCGCCUGCAUCCAGCACUGAGAUCCAGCUGUGUUUUUGUGAAGGUGUACCAUGCAGAAGGAAUCCGGCAUCUACCAGGACGCCUCACCCAAGUCAGGACAGUCAUGUCCCGGAAAUGUCGUCCCGGGCGUCCCAGGGGGCCUGGCAUAGGCUCCGGCGGUGGCACCGUCUCUGGGACGCGGCGGCCAUGUGGGGAACAGUCCCUCUCCGGGAGCGUUAUCGGAAGCAGGCGCGCGGAAGCGGAAAAAAAAUAAAACACGACAUUAAAAACA